rnacentral:rRNA from 1 species
UACAGAGGGUGCGAGCGUUGUUCGGAAUUAUUGGGCGUAAAGGGCGCGUAGGCGGUGCGGUAAGUCACCUGUGAAAUCUCCUGGCUCAACUGGGAGCUUGCAGGCGAAACUGCCGUGCUGGAGUGUGGGAGAGGUGCGUGGAAUUCCUGGUGUAGCGGUGAAAUGCGUAGAUAUCAGGAGGAACACCCAUGGCGAAGGCAGCAGACUGGGCAUCGCCUGACGCUGAGGUGCGAAAGCGUGGGUAGCAAACGGG